AAAAAAACAAAUCCCUUUUAAAAAAAAACUCUCUCAACCCCUCUGUCCUCCGGCCAUUGGCCGGUCAUCAGACGGUCACCGGCCACUGCGCCGGCCGCCGAUCUCCGGCGCCGGCACCGCCGUCUGCGAUGGCCGAAAAGGGGAAAAAAUUUUUAGUUUGACCUUCUAGACCCCCUGAGCCUAAAUCCGGGCUCAAAUCUCACAAAACACCAACGAAAGUGCCCCUAAAAGCACUGAAACCUUUCGACUUCCGGUCGUCUUUCAUCGGAUACGACACCCUCAGCCAUCCACGGCGAUCUGGGGCUUCAAAGCACAGGUUGUGUCUUCUCUUUUCCCCUAUUUAUUUUAUUUGUAUGUAUAUAAUGGUAAAAAAUAAAUACAACAAUAAAUAAAAGCUGCAAAUAACAACCUUUGAUUCGUUUGUUUCUCUGUUUGUGUUGUGAAGAUAGGGAUUUUUUAUUGAUUCCCAAAAAAAAUCCUCUAUUACAGUAUGUUCAAAGGCUUUUUAUAGCUGAAUGAAAAAAAUAAAACAGGAAACAAAUCUGUUUUCUGAUUUGAUUUACAAAUAUUUUGAUUCGCUUUCCAUUUUCGUUUUUUCUUUGAUGUGCAGGUGAAGAUUCGGCUACGGCGGGCUAGGUGAUUGCAACGCAGAGGACUUAGAAACCCUAGGGUUUCUAAUAUUUCCUGGGCCAUUGUCUUUGGGCCUAUUUUAUUUCAUUUUGGGCCAUGUAUUUGGGCCACUUUAUUUGGUUCUGGACUUGUAAAAACUGGACUUUUAUUUAUUAAGGGCCGAGCAAAAAUUUAGGCAUUACAGUCAUAUUUUGGCUC
rnacentral:lncRNA from 1 species